rnacentral:rRNA from 1 species
GGACCCGAAAGAUGGUGAACUAUGCGUGGAUAGGGUGAAGCCAGGAGAAAUCCUGGUGGAGGCUCGCAGCGGUUCUGACGUGCAAAUCGAUCGUCAAAUCUGCGCAUGGGGGCGAAAGACUAAUCGAACCAUCUAGUAGCUGGUUACCGCCGAAGUUUCCCUCAGGAUAGC